AGUGCUGCCCCGCCCCUCCCACGUCUGCCAGCAGCAAGGGAGCUGAAGACCGUCAACACAUUUUAUGACGAAGCAGCACUUUUACACUCAAAUCGUCCGGUUUCUCUCUCGGUGUCAGCAUGUAACACGGAGCUGUGGGUCCGGUGCUCGUCUUCAGUGCCUCGGUUGCAGCAGUCCUUCAACCCUCUUUGCCCUCGUAUGUGCUUACAGUCCUCUUCCUCGUUGAUGGACGCUGGACUAACUUUAACUACGAGGAGGGGAAACAGCGAGACAGAGGCUUCCCGUCACUUGUUGCCGCUCAGGAACAGGAGCACCGCGAAGGAGAGGCGCUAGUUGAGCCAUGAUGCUGGAGACGGAGAGUAAAGAGGCUCCAGCUGCUGAGAGCCACCAGGCACAGGUCACACAGGGACACGUGUCCACGAACACGCUGCAGGUACCCGGUGGAGCAUCCGUGUCUCCGCCCGUGGCCGCCAUACACUCUCACUCUCCUGCCCCCCCGGCGACCGAGGAUGAGGAUGAGAGUGAGGACGAGUCAGACAUCUUGGAGGAAAGUCCCUGUGGCCGCUGGCAGAAACGCAGAGAGGAGGUGAAUCAGCGCAACGUACCCGGGAUAGAUGCUGCGUACUUGGCUAUGGACACAGAGGAGGGUGUGGAGGUAGUUUGGAAUGAAGUCAUGAUCUCGGAGAGGAAGAACUUCAAACUGCUGGAGGAGAAAGUCAAGGCUGUAUUUGAUAACCUGAUCCAUUUGGAACAUGCAAAUAUUGUCAAGUUUCACAAGUACUGGGCUGACACAAAGGAGAACCGGGCGAGGGUGAUUUUCAUUACAGAAUAUAUGUCAUCCGGAAGCUUGAAGCAGUUCCUGAAGAAGACUAAGAAGAAUCACAAGAGUAUGAAUGAAAAGGCUUGGAAGAGAUGGUGCACUCAGAUCCUGUCUGCUCUCAGUUAUCUCCACUCAUGUGAUCCACCAAUCAUCCAUGGCGACCUGACCUGCGACACCAUCUUCAUUCAGCACAACGGGCUCAUCAAGAUCGGAUCAGUUGCUCCGGACACUAUUAACAGCCAUGUGAAGACUUGUCAAGAGGAACAGAAGAACAUGCACUUCUUUGCUCCAGAAUAUGGAGCUGUUGAGGAUGUCACUACUGCAGUAGACAUUUACUCAUUCGGCAUGUGUGCAUUAGAGAUGGCGCUCCUGGAGAUCCAGGGGAAUGGAGAGUCCUAUAAUGUUUCUCAGGAGGCCGUAAACAAUGCCAUACAGUUACUGGAGGACCCACUGCAGAGGGAGUUAAUCCAGAAGUGCCUCGAGUGUGAUCCUAUUACAAGACCUACAGCCAGAGAGCUGCUGUUUAACCAGGCUCUGUUUGAAGUACCUCAGCUAAAACUGCUGGCUGCACAUUGUAUUGUCAGCCACCAACACACGAUACCUGAAAAUGCCCUAGAGGAGAUAACCAAGAACCUGGACCCCAACCUGGUCAUUGCUGAGAUUAAAGAGGGUGUUCAGCUCAAGCUUUCACAGUUUCCUGCUUUAGAACUUGAUAAAUUCCUGGAGGAUGUCAGGAAUGGUAUCUAUCCAAUGACGGCGUUCGGGCUGCCCUGUCCUCAGAAGCCUCAACAGGAGACGGUUCAAUCUCCUGUCGUCGUCCCCUUGGUCAAAUCCCCAACCCCUGAACCUGCAGAGCUCGAGACACGACGGGUCAUUCAGAUGCAGUGUAAUGCUGAACCUGUGGAGGAGGGUGCAAAGUUUCAUCUAACAUUGCUGCUGAAACUGGAUGAUGAACUGAACAGACAUCUAAGCUGUGACAUGUUACCCAGUAAGAACAACUCUUCUGAAUCACACACUGGCACAUACUCAAUGAGCUUAAACAUACCUUUUAGUGUAUUGGGAUGUUUUACUUCCCCAUAUUGGUAUCGGCAUCUGCCCACAAAAUCCAUAUCAGUCAGGCUCUACUUUUGUCUGAAAUAAAAACGCCUCCAUGUUGUGUAAAAAAUCCUAGACCCAAAAGCAUUCAGUACUUGCUUUAUCGGUCAGGUGAGGCAAUAACAUGUUUUUGGCACGUUUGUGCGUGUGUUUUUUAUCCAAGUGAAAACAUGUUUUUAUUGAGUAUAGUCAUUUUGUCCAUCUGGACAGUUUAGUUUUACAAUUUGGUUUUAAUGAUGAUGACAUCAAUUUAUGAGAUUUGAUAUGAUUAUUUCUGUAUGAAUUACUGUGUAGGCAAGUCCAAUCUUCUCUCAGAUUUGACCACACGUGGUGGUUUUAUUGUGCACUUCCUCUCCAUGUGUGUCGACAGAGGCAUGCAGGAAAGUGAGAGUGAGAUUCCAGAGAGAGCUUGAAACCUGCAUGGCAUCACAAUAUACAGUAACAUGCAAGACUAUUUAAAGCAGGGAGACUGUCGCUUGCGUGUCAUAAAAACCUUGCUAUUUUGGAAAGUUUAUUCGGAUUGCAUCCUCAAAUCGUUUCUUAAUAACCGUAAAAACCUUAGACUCUGUUGUAAAUGUUUUUUUGUAAAACUUUGCAUUUUAUCCCAAUAUUUCAGUAUUUUUAUUGGUGACACAUAUGACAAGGAAGGCAAAAGAGAAAAUAACACACAGCGCAACUGUUUCCCUGGUCAGAAUAAUGUUGGCAGUAUGGUCCAAUGUGCACAUGUAUACGCAGGUAUGGUAGGCAUGUAUAACUUUGCAGGCAUGUGGGGAAUGCUGGGCCUGUGAAAGGCUGAGGCUGACAGCUGUCACCUCCUAUGUCAUGAUCUGUCCAUCUCUUCCCAGUUUCUCAUCUCCCUAUCUCUCUCUCUCUCUCUCACACACACUAACACACUUUCAAUGGACUUGUUCUUUUCUGCUCUUCCUCCAUUUCUCCACAGACUACCAUCUAAUACCACUGGCACAAAUACUGUACAUUCACAUCCAUGUACACCACUGCACCUAGUCAGUCUCACAGACACUACCUGUUCCUUUGUUAACAGUCGCUCCUGCUGAUAUCAGGGGAUAAUCUUUCCAAAGGUUUCCUUAUCAACAAGACAAAGUCCAAAGUCAGUCAGUGCUGGGUCACUAGCUAACCAAGCCACUUAGAUUUCACCCAUUUGGCCUCUGCUUGUCUCUCCAACAACUUAUUUCAGAGAAUUCACGAUUGAAACUUGUUUUUAUUCUCAAAACUAAACUCUUUGUUGUAUGAUUUUAUAUCAAACCACAAAACAUGAAUCAGCAGGGAAGCCUCUCCCACAGCUCCAGCCAUGCAGCUGUGGGCUGCUGGUGUUUUUCUUUUGUUAAUGUCAACGUUGUUGGAUGCUCCAUCUCCUCCACUUGUUUGUCUUGUUCCACCCACAUUCCUGGUCCAGUUGUAAAUUGACAGCUUGGUUAUUAAAAAUCAGUCGACCCUGACCAGUCCUCUGCUCACAGGAGAGAAAGUCCCAAUAGGGGCGGCAACUAAAGUAAUCAUAAUACAACACUUUUGUUAAAUAAUAUCCAUUUAUUACAAAAACGGCACAGUAGAGGAGGGGAUAUUUUUAUCACAAAAACUUGAGCAGCUGCUUUACAACAUGGAUUACUGACAUUGCUGGAAUCUUAAUCUGCUUUUCCCAAGAUAUAUUGUUCCUGCAUAGCUGUUGAAAAGUUGUCCUACCUGGAAUGCAGAUUUUUUGUUUAAACUGUUAAAGUAGAAAAACGUUCAAUGAGUCGGGAGUUAAUUCAGAUUUUGGGGACAAACAUUAAAGGCUAGAAUGAAAAUUUGAAAAGGUAAAAUGUUAGCCCAGUCAGAAAGUUGUGGACAAGUUGUAGAGGAGGAUCAGUCCAUUUAGUUAUUAAGCUUUGAAUAAAGAGUAAUAUUUAAAAAACUAAAACAUAUUAACGUCUCGUGCCCGAAAGAGACCAUGCUGUCUGGGGUUAGGGUUGGCUUUUUAUUUUUCCUGUCAGGUGAGUCCCAUUUUGUUGUUUCAACUGUAAUUAAUGUCACUUAAUAAAAUCCCUGUUAAAUACCCACAGAAGUGAAUUAAAAAAGGAUGUUCUGAAACAACACAGUGGGCUCACAGAUGAUGCAACAGCAGGAUCAGAUGUUUGGUGGUUGCUAAUGUGUUUAAGGUGGGAUUUGGAUUUAAAAGCAGCAGCUGGUGCAUAUUUUUCUGAAUGUGCCUCAGUCUGACCUCGUAUUUUUGUGUGAGUGUUUAUAGUAUUUGCACAACUCCAUCAGAGAUACUGUUAUGUCGGUCUGUUACAUGUCCAUGAAUUGGUGACUAACUACACUUGUGUGUGUUUCAGAUGAAUCUGGUCAUGAGCUGGCUGAAGAGUUGGUGCAGCUGUGCUUUAUCAGUGAGUUGGACCAAAACAAAAUAGCCUGUCUGCUAGAAGAAAGUUGCAGUCAAGCUCUUCACUAGCAAGGGUUUCCUCAACCAUGUUUCCUUCUAAGUACAAUCUUUCAACCCUGUUACACACUUUGUUUUUGAAUAUUCAACUCAGUCACCAUAUUGGUUUUUUUGGUGGGUUUUUUUUGUGCGCUGUAUUGUUAUGUAUGUUGUUUUACCUUGUGUCCUUAAGAUGCACUUUUUGGUUUUUAAUUAAAAUGCAGCUAAUUGAGUGUAAAAGGGAAUAUUUCCCUCUCUAGCAUCGCCACCUGCUGGUCGUUUUGGUUUAUCAU